UAGAGAAGUGUUUUGAAAUGC
rnacentral:piRNA from 1 species